CACCCAACUGGCGUUGGUGGAAAAGCAGAUGCACUCCACUUGACUUGGUGGAAACAGCAGAUGCACCCAACUAGCCUUUGUGGAAACAGCAGAUACACUCCACUGGGCUUGGUGGAAACAGCAGAUGCACUCCACUGGACUUGGUGGAAACAGAAGAUGGACCCAACAGGACAUGAUGGAUACAACUGGAGGAGACUUGCCUGCUGAUGUUGACCUUCCAGACAAGACAUAUCAAAGGAGAUAAUGACACUCAUCAGCUCUACUGGUCAGUGACAAGAAAGCUUGUGAUCAUAAACAAGGGCAUGACAUGGUGGAAACAGCUGGAGGAGACAGGGCCAUUGGAUGCUAAUCUUCCAAGAUGUGGAAACAGCAGAUGUCCUCAACAAGACAUGUGUAACAGCAGAUGCACCCAACUGGACAUGGAUAGAAACAACUUGAUGAUGCAUAGCUAGUACUUUCUGAUCGUCCAAGAUGUGGAAACAGCAAAUGCGCCCAACAGUACAUGGUGAAAACAGUAGAUGAACCCAAAAGGACCUGAUAGAAACAACUGGAGGAGGAAUAGCCAAAGGAUGCUGAUCUCACAUUUAUCAGCUGCAGCCAACAGAACCUUGUGGAAACAACUGGAAAUAGAAAAGCUUGAUGAACCUCUUUUAAGAUGGGAAAACAGUGAGUUUCAAAUAUGCGAAAACACCAGCUACAUGCAAAAGGAAUUGGUGGAAAGAUGAGAAAACAGCAAAUUUUUCUAAAAAGACUUAGUGAAUAAAAUCUUGAGGAUUUAUUGAGGAUCUUGAGGCCAUUAUUAAUAUUGCGGCAAACUUGAUGGACAAUGAUAAUCCAAUAUGUGAAAACACCGGCUACAUCCAAAAGGAAUUGGUGGAAAGAUGGGAAAACAGCAAAUACUUCAAAAAAGACUUGGUGAAAUAAAUCUUGAGGAGGCAAGGCCAUUAUUAAUAUUGCGGCAAACUUGAUGGACAAUGAUAAUCCAAUAUGUGAAAACACCAGCUACACCCAAAAGGAAUUGGUGGAAAGAUGGGAAAACAGCAAAUACUUCUAAAAAGACUUGGUGAAAUAAAUCUUGAGGAGGCAAGGCCAUUAUUUAUAUUGCGGCAAACUUGAUGGACAAUGAUAAUCCAAUAUGUGAAAACACCAGCUACACCCAAAAGGAAUUGGUGGAAAGAUGGGAAAACAGCAAAUACAUCUAGAAAGACUUGGUGAAAUAAAUCUUGAGGAGGCAAGGCCAUUAUGAAUCUUGAGGCAAACUUGAUGGACAAUGAUAAUCCAAUAUGUGAAAACACCAGCUACACCCAAAAGGAAUUGGUGGAAAGAUGGGAAAACAGCAAAUACUUCUAAAAAGACUUGGUGAAAUGAAUUUUGAGGAGGCAAGGCCAUUAUGAAUCUUGAGGCAAACUUGAUGGACAAUGAUAUUCCAAUGUGUGAAAACAUCAGCUACACCCAAAAGGAACUAGUGGAAACAAUAAACACAGACAAGCUUGAUAACGAUCUUCAAAAUGUAGAUGUUCCCAACAAGACUUGGUGGAAACACCUGGAGGACAAUUUAUGCCUGAUGGAUGUUGACUUUUUCACCAAGACAUACCACAGUGAAUGCUGAUACUGAUCAGAGAAUCAAAGGAACUUUUAGAAGGAACAUCCUUGAGAUCAUGUGUGUGGAUGAAGAAGCAGGAAUUAAUUAAUGAUUAAUCCACACCUUUAAAUCACUGAUGUAAAUCCAUUUUAGUAACAAUGUUUUUUUCAAAGACUAUUUAAUAAAAAUAUAAAUUUUUGUAGAGGGUGUCCGAAUUAUGUCAGGGUAUGGGGUCGCCCAUUCGGACACGUGGGUUCUCUACGGGUACUCCGUCUUCCUCCCACACUGACCCCAGCUUUCUCUUUCUUUUUCAUUAGCUAUAUAUUCAUAUUGUUAAGACGAAGUAGUUGAAGGCUAGUUGUAAGUAGGUUUUUACGAUACCCUGGGGCAUUACUGGUUGGAACUUAAGUUCCUUCACCGCCACGGCUGCCAGGCUGGCCUGGGGAGGAGAAGCUGAAAGUGACUAGUUGGAGGCUGCUUUGUCUUUUAUUAUCUUUUUAUGAUUAUGCCAAUGAGAUAAUAGUUAGUUAUUGUAAUUGUUUUGAUGAAGUUAAAUAUGUUUCAGCUGAUGUAAUGAUUGCAUAAUAGGACAUAAGUAUUCACAGAAUGUGUAAAUUCUGUCAGCUGUUGUAGAAAGAAUAAUUUGUAUAUACUAAGUAGUCACCUUUUCGUUAUUAGCUUAUAGUGAAAUUGAAUGCCUUAUAAAUACUGAUGUGACUAAAUAUGCUGUGAAAGAAAUGAAUAUAAAAUUGUAUAUUGCAUUUGAGAAAGUAAAAUAGUGAUUUGCGUCAAUGACAAAUGUUAAAUUGCCGGUGAUUUGUAAAUGUUAAUUUGUGAUUUGUUAAUGUUAUAUCAAUUAAUGAUUUAAAAUGUUAAAUUGUGAUUGUUUAAUGCAAUUGUAAAUUGUUGAUGUGAAAAUGUUGUGAAU